GCGAGGCCCAGAGUUCGGGUGGUCUGAAUCGGUGAGCCCUGCUCCAGCUGCUGCUGGUGUGACUGAAGAGGAUGUGGCCCAGGAUCUUCCCCGUGCCCCAACUCCUCAUGCCGCAGCUGCGAGAUGUGGGCAACCGGCAGGCCGAGGCGCUGGAGUUACUAGCCACAAACACCAGGUGGCAGGGCCAGGCAUCAUCGGAAAGCUGCCGACUGCCAGGUUCAACUUCUCGGUGACGUGGUC